AGUUGGGGUGGUAAAAGUAACGCCGGGCUUACUCGGCCAGGAGCAUUUUUCUCGUUCCAGCUGUUCUCCCCGAGGGUUUUCCAGGAAAGCAUCGGCAUCCCACAACAGCCAAGAUAAAUCUGCUCCAUGGGGUAAAUCUUCUCCCCGAGGUAAAUCCCAUCUGCCCCACGGGGUAAAUCAUCCCAUCAAACCCCCUGAGAUGCAGUGGUUUCUGGAUGGACACCUUCACCUGCCUCUCACCAUGCCCGGACAGCCCAUGUCACCGCAUCCUACCCCAUCCAGAGGUGCAGGAGGAUACCGUCCCUGGGGAGCCUGGGGACAUCAAGCUGGGAGGAGGGAGGAAAGUUCCCAGGGGCUGGUGAUCCAGUUGGACCAGGUGGUGCUUUUUGGAAGCUCCACGUGCUGUUUUUCUCUGUGGAAAUGCCCAUGGACAAGGAGCAUUUGGCAGGUGCCUGCUGCACCCCAAGCUCCUGUUCUUCCAUUGGGUAGAGUCUGAAGCCAGUGUGUUAGGGCAAAGCUUUGUAUCACUCUGUGCUCCGAGACCCUUGUGUCUUCUCCCUUCUCCUCUUCCCAUGAUGUACCCCUGGACGCUGGAGCACCCUGGGGACACCCCAAUGCCAGGGGGCAGGAUCCACAUCAUGCCUGGCUAAGCCCACAGCAGCAAAACCAGAGCCCAGCAUAGGGAAUAAAGAUGAUGGUGCUACAGGUGGGGGUGAAGUCAAUUUAACUUCAUCCUGGGCAGGCCAACACCUUCCCCAGGGAGCAUGAUCCAGCUCCACAGCUGAGCCAGCCCGGGGUCACAUCUGUUCUGCUCCCGGGCCAAAGGGAAACCACAGCAUUACCCAAGGAGAGGGAAAAGCAUUUUUGCUCCCAACACCUCUUCCUGUAGUGUUGACACAAGAAGAUCGGGCCAGGCAGGGGCUGCUCUCUCAAUACUACCUGGGGCAGCAAAAGCAGUCCAAAAACUCCUCUACCCAUAUGUGGUAUAUCCUGGGGGAGCAACAUCACCCCUUCCAGCCCAAUAGAAGCUCAAAUCCAGUAUCAUAGCACCUAUCAGCCUAUUUUCACAUGGCUAAAAGUGGAAAAAAGCGUAUUUUUCCCUCCUUCCCAGGGCUCCAGCUACACUUCUAGAUGGUCCCCGGGGCUGCAGCACCAUCUUCACUCUUUCAGUAUCAGGUAAGCACAACGGCACACAAACUAGCUGGCAGCCACCUCGGCCAGGAACGAGCAGCCCAGGGUUAAUUCCUCCCAUACCUGAGCUGACAUUUCAAUGCUAUUACACAAUUAUGGAGAUUCCUACUGUAACCCUAGAAGUUCCCAUCAAAGUUUGGUAGGCUCCCACCCCCCAGGGGGUUUUCCCACCCAGAGGUACACCCCAGCUCCUUCCAUCCCAGCGAUGAAGGAGAAAAACCAAUCA